rnacentral:lncRNA from 1 species
CAUAACCAACAGGAAGAGCACACGAUGGGCUAGAGAGGGGGUGGGGGAGGGGGGCUAACUGGAAAACGUUAUCAAAUAGGCACCAUGGGGUCCCUAUUGGUUAAAUAGACCCUAUCUCCAAUCCUCUCCUGCCCCCCAGCUUCGGUGUGAACUCGAAGUCAGGUGUGACCAGAAGUCAGUGUGAACGGGAGGGCACCUCAGCUCUCCCUUGGAGGUGACAAUGGCUUAAGGCAUUACUCUCUCUGGACCUCUUUGAAGCCCCCAAAGACUAGGAGAUCCCAAACAGAUGUGUCUCUAUAGGAUCUGAGGUGCCCUCAUGGGCAGGGAGACAAAGCACCCAUUUGUAGGGAGAGCCGAGCUCCAAGGGAGGCUGCCCAGGAUCUAUUUGUGGCCUCAGCAUUGCCAGAUGGUGCAUUUUAAAUACAGCUCCCUUCCUCUCACACCAGCCUUUCUGGGUCUCCCAGAGCUGCUCUUACCCCACCCCCACCCCCACCCCCACACGGGUUAUGGGGAGACUGUUCACGGACAGGGCCUCAUACCCACCUCAGCAGAUCCGGGGACAUGUGACCAAACAAUCCCAAGCCAGGGCUGCUCUUAUAGAACCUUUAUUGAUGUGGCAUUCUUCAGAUCAAGGCCAUUUAAUCGGGACAUACUGAAAAUAGUAAAAGCCAAUGGGCAUUGAGGGUUUAAUAUAUGCCAGAUUUGGUGUUAAGUGUUUUAUUUUGUCCUUGAAACAGCACUGUGAGGGAGGUAAAUACUAUUAUCACCCUCCUUUUAUGACUGAGAAAACUGCAGGCUUGGAGAGAUUGAGUCACUUGACCUCCAUGUCACAGAGUCAGCAGCAAGGCCAGGACCUGAGUUGGUCUAAUUCCAAAGCUUCUCCUGCUAGGCUCUCCAGUGUACCCCAAAGAUCUUUUUCUGGAAGGUUCUAAACCUCCCUUGCAUUCAGUCCGAGGUAAAAUAGCAGAAAAGCUUUGCCCAUGGCAGAGGGAAGCUGGAAGGCACAGCAGCGGGAAACGCCCAGCAAACGGAAGAUGGCUGCUGUGGGGAAUGGUCCAGAACUUCAAAACUUUCAGCAGACCCUGCCCUUCAUGCAUAGUCUUGACCCCGAGCAGCAUCCCCUCUAGGCUGCGGAUCCAAUGGCGGGCCUCCCGUGGGAGCAGGAGCGCGAUUGCCUCCCUCAAAGAUUUCCAGCCACGUGUCCAGCCUGUCCUCUCCCUUCAUCUUUCCGGUGGGCCCCCUUCCUUCCUCCCCUCUGCUAGUCCUGAAGGACAGGGCUCUGCUCCGUGACACCCCUCUGCAUCUAUUCCUUCAUCUGGUUUGUAAAACCAGCAAAGUCCUCCCACCCCAGACAGUAGCAGUGUGAAUUAAACACAGUACGAAAAGGAGUGACCCGCCCUAGCACAGAGCAGGUGAUCAGAAAAUGUUGGUGAACUUGUCCCACUCACUUUCUUUCCUUCUUUUGGUGGUGGACCACACUGGCGCUUUGUUUGUUUUUUUGUUUUGUUUUGUUUUUUAGGGCUGUAUGCAAGGCAUAGAGAAGUUCCCAGACUAGGGGUUGAAUUGGACCUGCAGCUGCCAGCCUACACCACAGCCACAGCAAAGCUGGAUCCUUAGCCCACUGAGCGAGGCCAGGGAUCAAACCUGCAUCCUCAUGGAUGCUAGUUGGGUUCAUUACUGCUGAGCCACAAUGGGAACUCCCACACUGGUAGUAAGUUAUUCACCCCCAGGCUUCCCCAGUCAGUCCUGCCAUGUGUGAGUCAUGGACAAAGCGAUUAACCACGACCAACUUCCUUUUGUAACUGAUGAGCCAUGCCAUCUGGGGGCUAAACUGUUGGAACACACAUGCUGUAAAUAGGUAAACAUUUUAACUAUCUUCUGAAAUAAUUUCAGAUUUUGGAAGGUAACCCCUAAGGCUCCAACUUCCUCAGACACCGCUGGGAAGGGCGAUGACCUAAUUCAGCCUUGCCAGGAGCUGCCUCAGAGCUGCAGUCUGCAUGUCCGGAAAGGGUCCUUCUGGGCUAGGUGGGACCAGCUCUCAUGCCUCCCUGCUGCCUCCUCAGGUGUCAGGCGGGCCUGCCGUCCAUCUCCCCCAGAGACUUCUCAGCCUCUUCAUCGUUGUCAUUGAUGGCAAGAAACUGGGUAUCCCAAAGGUGAUGGCCCUGGUGUUGGGCCAGUCUCUGGAGACUGAGAUGACCCAGAAGAAGGGGACUUGCCAUGUCAACCACACAGAGCAGAAGGAGGCUGAGACCUGGGGGUGGGCCAGGGGAGGGACUUCCAUGUGCCCAGCUGGGGAGGGUUCUGGCCGGCUGAGAACGAACUCAAGGAGAAAGCUCUGCAAAGGAGGUGGCGCUGAUUUUGUUUGUUUGGAUCAUCUGCACGAGUCAGAUGUCUGUUUCUGAUGAGGGACUGAGAUUUCGGCUGGCUUGGAGGGCAUGCCAACAACAGGGAUGCAAGCGUUUUGCAAACUGUGCUCCAAAGAGCACAUCUACCCACAAUUCCGAGUUCCCCUGCAGCAAUGCCCCCAUCACUAAUUUUCAGCUCUUGCUAGCAUGGCUGAGGGGUGGGGGCUGGGGGGCGGUGCAGGAGUGACCCACUUUGGGUUCUAAUCUACCGAGGCUAAAGCUCGCCAAGGACAGAGCUAGAGCUAAGAGAAGAAAGUUGUCCAGGCUCAGAUUAGGAAUCCCAAUUCCAGGGUGAGACUGCUUCAGGACACAAAGCCUGCAGAGGGCCGUCCAGGGCAUGGGACCCCUCAUCUUGCAUCCUGAGCUCUGCCCUGAGUCCUGUCCAGAGCCGUAUGCAUUAGCAUAACCUGAAACACAACUGCACCCGCUCUGUGCCUGGGGCUGGACAGAGCAGCACAGAGAGAGAGGUCACUGACCCUGAAAGGCAAUCCCCCCUAAAACAAAUGCCUCUCACUGUCCAGGGCCUGCAGCUCUCCAGGACCCCCAGAGAUCACCCCUAGCCACUCAGCAACACCCCCCCCCAAAUGCUUUCCCUCUCCCUGCCACAUCCGUGUCACUCCUUUGAAGCUCUGCUCCUAUUCCACGAUCAUCCCAGAUCUCAAUAGGCUUUCCUCCCAUGUCCUUCCUUCCUUCCAAAUGAGAAGCAGGUAUAAAUGCUGGGUACUCAUUUUUCAAAGCCAGCAGGAAGGUGGGGUGCGGGCCUGAGAGGAUUGGUGAGAGAGAGAGAUGGCAUGACAGGGCUGGAACUUGAUGUUCUAACUCGGGGGGCAGGGGAGGGAGGAGGAGUCCUGGGCUAUAAGGUUGAGGCAAUGGAGAUGUGGGGCUGGGGUCUCUGCAUGUUCCCCAGGGCAGGGCACUGCCCUGCAGGCUGCUCGGAAGCUCCAUGCCUGGAGUGCAGUUACCAGCUUGCUCUCCUUGACACUUAGCACCAACUUGGGAAUGUCUUUCAUCUUUCUCAUUACACUUCAUGGCAAAUAUGUGUGUAUGUUGUAUUAUGCGUGCAUUUGUGUGUGUGUGUGUGUGUGUGUGUGUGUGUAUCCGUUCAAUGAAAACUUAUCCUCC